rnacentral:rRNA from 1 species
AUACGGAGGAUCCGAGCGUUAUCCGGAUUUAUUGGGUUUAAAGGGUGCGCAGGCGGCCAUUUAAGUCAGCGGUUAAAUCGUGGGGCUCAACCCCAUUCUGCCGUUGAUACUGGGUGGCUUGAUUGCGGUCGAGGUUGGCGGAAUUCGUUGUGUAGCGGGGAAAUGCAUAGAUAUGACGAAGAACACCGAUUGCGUAGGCAGCUGACCAGACCGCAAAUGACGCUCAUGCACGAAAGUGCGGGGAUCGAACAGGAUUAGAUACCCUGGUAGUCCGCACAGUAAACGAUGAAUACUUGUUUUCGGCGAUAUAAUGUCGGAGGCAAAGCGAAAGCGAUAAGUAUUCCACCUGGGGAGUACGCCGGCAACGGUGAAACUCAAAUGAAUUGGCGGGG